AUCGAACGCUGGCGGCAUGCUUUACACAUGCAAGUCGAACGGCAGCGCGGGCUUCGGCCUGGCGGCGAGUGGCGAACGGGUGAGUAAUACAUCGGAACGUGCCCAGUAGUGGGGGAUAGCUCGGCGAAAGCCGGAGUAAUACCGCAUACGACAUGAGGGUGAAAGCGGGGGAUCUUCGGACCUAGCGCUAAUGGAACCGCCGAUGGCAGAUUCGCUAGUUGGUGGGGUAAAGGCCUACCAAGGCGACGAUCUGUAGCUGGUCUGAGAGGACGACCAGCCACACUGGGACUGAGACACGGCCCAGACUCCUACGGGAGGCAGCAGUGGGGAAUUUUGGACAAUGGGCGAAAGCCUGAUCCAGCAAUGCCGCGUGUGUGAUGAAGGCCUUCGGGUUGUAAAGCACUUUUGGCGGGAACGAAAAGGACUGUGCCAAUACCACGGUUCGAUGACGGUACCCGCAGAAUAAGCACCGGCUAACUACGUG
rnacentral:rRNA from 1 species